UGUCGGCUUUCGUAAAGUUGGGGAGUCGUCCAAAUUCUACACCUACACGACCACUUGAGGUGGAUGAUGCAUUCCAAGGACCUCGAAAAUUCCUUUAUGUCUAAAGUGUCAUGUUUGAACAUAUAUGUAUAUAUUGAGCAUGUUGCAUAGUAGGUUUAAUUGUGAGCUUUUAUUGCAUGAUUGUGAAUUUAAUUUCGUAUGAGAUACUUGUAAGAAUGUGAGAAUUAUAACCCUAUUUAUGCAUGACAAGUGACAAGAACCUAGAGGGAUUAGUGAACAAAAGUGACACAUGGACAUAGAUCUAGCGAGUGACAUUGAUAAGUCUAGAACACUUAGAAAAACAAGUGUGGCAUGAGUACAAGAACUUGGUAGUGUAUAUGAUACUAGUGUUGGUAAAGAAUGCAAAGAAAAGAAUGAUUGAGAUAUUAUGAUAUUGCAACCUUAGAGUAAAAGGUCAUUUGAGCAUGGUCUUCCUUAAAGUUAAGAAAUGGAUUGAACUUGGAAUCCUCAAUGUAGGAUUGAUCGUACUCACCUUUAGUCCUUACUCGAGGGUGGUAGCUCCCCCUCAGGCGAUGUGCUCCGGAGUCGACAUCACUGGGUUGUAGCGGGUAUCUCCCCAGAGGACGGCCCUAUCGGGUUGUAGCGGGUAUCUCCCCGGUUAGCAGGAUUUUGGGUAGUGAGUCUGUUGAGGGCGAAGCCUACGGGUUAGCCAAGAGAUUGGGUAAAGAAAUUGUGAUCUUGCAUUCAUCAUGAGCAUUAUAUCGAGUAUCGCAUUCUAUAUUGUUCAGGCAUAUUAGUUGUAUUUGUUGGUUGGUUACUUUCUUUCUUCUAUUCUAUUAUGCCUAAUUAGACCUAGUGGGAUAGUCGGCGUGGUUGGUUGCCGAACCUACUGGAAACUUUGUUGUAGUUCUCACACCCCUAUUUCCACAGAGCCGGGAUCGAGAGAACCGGCUGACGACCGCGGUAAAUGAAAGGACAUACCGUUUUGAUUUAUCAUCUUUUGUACUUCGAUUAUUAUAGCCGCUAAAUGAAAGGACAUGAAUGAUGUAAAAGAGUUUUAUUUAAUAUCAAUGUCAUAUUUUGGAAGAAUGAGAUGUAAAGAAAGAUACGAUGCAAAAUGAUGAAAAAUUGUAAUUGAUUUCCUAAGUGUAGUUAUUUACUUCACUAUUGGCUAUUUCUUGCCCUCGUGCAAGCCAUUGUGUAUGCUUCCGCUUAUACAAACUUUAUACUCUAUUGAUACUUGUUGUUCAGCCUUGGGCGGACAGGGAAGGCUCUGUCCAUUCGGCGUCUGUUCGACGCUCUCGAACCGGCCAAAAGAAUCGGGCUCGGGGCGUGACAGAGUAGGUCUUGUGUGCUAUUAGGAGCAUGCAGGCCUCCGUGCUCCUAAGCCGUUUUCGAUGAUGGAGCUUCCAAAUCGAUGAUCGGCUCCAUUAGAAUUGAUCUAGCGUAUUUGAAC
rnacentral:lncRNA from 1 species